rnacentral:rRNA from 1 species
GAUGAACGCUGGCGGCGUGCCUAACACAUGCAAGUCGAACGGAGUCGUUUUGGAAAUCUCUUCGGAGAUGGAAUUCUCGACUUAGUGGCGGACGGGUGAGUAACGCGUGAGCAAUCUGCCUUUAAGAGGGGGAUAACAGUCGGAAACGGCUGCUAAUACCGCAUAAAGCAUUAAAUUCGCAUGUUUUUGAUGCCAAAGGAGCAAUCCGCUUUUAGAUGAGCUCGCGUCUGAUUAGCUAGUUGGCGGGGUAACGGUCCACCAAGGCGACGAUCAGUAGCCGGACUGAGAGGUGGAACGGCCACAUUGGGACUGAGACGCGGCACAGACGACUACGGGAGGAAGCAGUGGGGAAUAUUGCGCAAUGGGGGAAACACUGACGAAGCAACGCCGCGUGAUUGAAGAAGGCCUUCGGGUUGUAAAGAUCUUUAAUCAGGGACGAAACAAAUGACGGUACCUGAAGAAUAAGCUCCGGCUAACUACGUG